rnacentral:lncRNA from 1 species
UAGAAGGUUGUUCAAAACUGGAAAUUAUUGAAAAUGAAUUAAUAGAUAAAGAUAAAAAGGAACCAAAAUCUUGUAAAUUUUUCUAUACAUUAUUUUUGGAGGAUAAUAAAGUGAUAUCUUUAUCUUCCUGUGAAAAAUGGGAAAGAGAUUUAAAUAUGCAGAUUGAAGAUUGGAAUGCUAUUUAUUCCAUGCCCUUCAUUAUAACCAGA